rnacentral:ncRNA from 1 species
CUUUGAAAAAGGCAAACCAGUCGAAAGAUUGGGACGCAAAGUCACAGACCUAGGGUGUUUCACUACGGUGGCUGGACUACCAAA